CUGAAUGGUCUUCUCCAGGUUCAAAAUGGAUAAUUGAUGACUCUGCAUUUUCAUCUCCUGGGCUGUCUGAUGUGGAUAGCAGCUGUUCAAGUAGAUGAGGGUAACUGGCUUGAACUUGACGGAUGAACUCCUGUCCUUUAAUUCUUAUCAAGUACUCACACCUUGGAAACCACUUGGCAUGUUGAACCCAUGGAUCAUCUCCAGAUUCCCAACACCUGAGUCCACCAUCACAGCAAAAGCAUUUGACAUCAUCACUGUUACCUAAAAUUAAUUUUAGACCAAAACUUAUGAAUACACAUAAUUUGCCCACUAAAAUGUAUAAAAUGAAA
rnacentral:lncRNA from 1 species